CUUUUUCGGUCAAAAAUUGUCAGCAGUAGCACUGGCGGGCUCACAACCUUGCAUGUCGGCUGUUCAAAACGUCUAGUGGAAAAGUGAUCUCGAAUACUUGGUAGCUCUUUGCUUCUUUUUACAAAGACACCUUUAAGGGAAAAAGCGAUAUCAUAUAUUUGACAAAGAGGAGAUAGCAAUGCAGAGAGCGCCUCAGCCAAGCUGUUUUGACCGUGUUAAAGUUGGGUUUAUGAUUGGUUUUGCAGUGGGGAUGAGUUCUGCUGGGCUGUUUGGAACUUACUCGGCACUCAGGGGAUUUGUAUCCGAAAACUCACUCUCCCCCCCCACCCCCAAGAAAAAUCCUGGGUACGGCCUGUGCUAAUGUACACUACGUGAUUAAUAAUAGGAUAUGGCCUCCGGGGAAGAGAACUAAUGUCAAGUGUUGGAAAACUGAUGCUUCAAGGAGGAGGGACAUUUGGUGUGUUCAUGUCUGUUGGAACAGCAAUACGAUGUUAACAAAUCAACAAGAAGAAUCCAUCAUUUAACUAACAAAAUUAAACGUUAAGACAUAAAAACAGCCAAGGAAAGAGACAUUUGUAUGAGCUUCAACUCAGUGUAAAAAGUUUGAUAUCUGUGAUAGAAGCUAUAGCUCAGCACUUUUCAUUUCUAAAGAACUUGCAGUAUCUUCAUGGCUCCUGUUUUAUUGAACUUUUCUGGCUAUUAUUCAUAAACAAGAAGCUCCAAGGCUUGCAGAUCAUAAUAGUGACAUUCAGUGUUCUUCUUUCCGUGAUAUAUCAGAUAUAUCUAUGUUUGGGGAUGUUACUUAAAUGAAUUAAGAUUGUUAAUAAACUUGCCUAUCACUGGA